CCAGAGAACUUUCCAGAGAUGGAUUGGUGCCUUCGGGAACUCGUGAGACAGGUGCUGCAUGGCUGUCGUCAGCUCGUGUUGUGAAAUGUUGGGUUAAGUCCCGCAACGAGCGCAACCCUUAUCCUUUGUUGCCAGCGGUCCGGCCGGGAACUCAAAGGAGACUGCCAGUGAUAAACUGGAGGAAGGUGGGGAUGACGUCAAGUCAUCAUGGCCCUUACGAGUAGGGCUACACACGUGCUACAAUGGCGCAUACAAAGAGAAGCGACCUCGCGAGAGCAAGCGGACCUCAUAAAGUGCGUCGUAGUCCGGAUUGGAGUCUGCAACUCGACUCCAUGAAGUCGGAAUCGCUAGUAAUCGUAGAUCAGAAUGCUACGGUGAAUACGUUCCCGGGCCUUGUACACACCGCCCGUCACACCAUGGGAGUGGGUUGCAAAAGAAGUAGGUAGCUUAACCUUCGGGAGGGCGCUUACCACUUUGUGAUUCAUGACUGGGGUGAAGUCGUAACAAGGUAAGCGUAGUGCU
rnacentral:rRNA from 1 species